ACUCCUACGGGAGGCAGCAGUGGGGAAUAUUGCACAAUGGGCGCAAGCCUGAUGCAGCAACGCCCGCGUGAGGGAUGAAGGCCUUCGGGUUGUAAACCUCUUUUAGCAGGGAAGAAGCGAAAGUGACGGUACCUGCAGAAAAGCACCGGCUAACUACGUGCCAGCAGCCGCGGUAAUACGUAGGGUGCAAGCGUUGUCCGGAAUUAUUGGGCGUAAAGAGCUCGUAGGCGGUUUGUCACGUCUGCUGUGAAAAUCCAAGGCUCAACCUUGGACUUGCAGU
rnacentral:rRNA from 1 species